GGGUUCCCCGCGAGAGGCGCCGAAGAGCGCGGGAUCCCAGCGCUGGAGGUUGGCUCGGGCAGUGCCCGCGCACGCGCUCGUCCCUACCCUACGCGGCGCUCGUAGGGUCGUUUUUGUGUGCCAUUCUACCCAGGCAGGCCCUACACCCGGCCGGGGCUGGCGGGGCUGGCGGGUUCAGUGCUGCUUGAUCUUCGUAGCCUGGAACAAAGGGCUCGGGAUUUGACUUCAGCCCGUCGGGCGUGCACUUUGCAAGCCCCCGUGCAACCUCUACCGAUGCAGCCCCGUGUCAGCCCUAAUUGUGUGGGUUAAUUCUGAGUAAGCUCCAAGAAGGACGUGCAGGCAUUGGAGAUCCACGCAGGCCUAAAGGAACCCCUGUGCAGUCAGUCAUGUGCUGCCGGAGGAGUGGAUUCGCUAAACCGUGAUAUAUCGAUUCCCCAAAACGCCUUGUUUCCUUUUUGGUGGAAACCCGGCCCUGAUUCACUUCUCUUGAAUACCUCCUGUCUGCGGGGUACUGUGCUGGGUUCUGGGAAUACGGAAAUUAAAAGAUCCAGCUCAGUUUAGUUGGGGAGGACAGGCGAAUGAGCCGAUAAUAACUAAAGCGUGGUAAACAUUAGGGUAGAGACCCUGGGAAACAAGAAAGAUACUCACCUGACUGGAAGUCCAGGAAGACUUCUCAGAGGAGGUAGCACCCGAGCUAUGUCUCGAAGAAGUAGCAAGAGUGGUUGGAGAAGAUAACCCUGGCCUCGGAAGCUGGAUGAGUACUGUGUCAUUUCCCAGGGAAGACCAGCUGGAGCUUAGGGAGUGAGGAGAAGGACUGAAACCAGGUCCGGAAGAGUCUCUGUGCCCUUCCAGGGAGUUUGGAUUUUGUCCCCAAGGCUGUGGGGAGCCUUUGCAAAAUUGUCUUCAGUGGACUGGAUGAUGCCCACCCCCCUGGGAGAGGGCCAUCUCUUUUACUGAUUCCGUCAAUUCAGAUGUUAAUCCCAUCCGAGACACCGUCAUGGACACACCCAGAAAUAACUAGUCUUGGCAUUAGGUGGCCCAGGCAAGAUGACACAAAAUUAGCCAUCGCAAGUAACUAACUACUAAAAGACAAGUUUCUCAUAGCCAUUUUCUGUCUUAAGAAUAGGGAUCUUAGGAGUUCCCGUCGUGGCACAGUGGUUAACGAAUCCGACUAGGAACCAUGAGGUUGCGGGUUCGGUCCCUGCCCUUGCUCAGUGGGUUAACGAUCCGGCGUUGCCGUGAGCUGUGGUGUAGGUUGCAGACGCGGCUCGGAUCCCGCGUUGCUGUGGCUCUGGCGUAGGCUGGUGGCUACAGCUCUGAUUCGACUCCUAGCCUGGGAACCUCCAUAUGCCGUGGGAGCAGCCCAAGAAAUAGCAACAACAAUAACAAAAGACAAAAAAAAAAGAAUAGGGAUCUGAGAUUCUUUUUCCAAAACUGAAAUAUUAAAAUCAAGAAGUUCCUGGAGUUCCCAUCGUGGCGCAGUGGUUAACGAAUCCGACCAGGAACCAUGAGGUUUCGGGUUCGAUCCCUGGCCUUGCUCAGUCAGUUAAGGACCUGGCCUUACCAUGAGCUGUGGUGUAGGUUGCAGACGCGGCUCCGAUCCCGCGUUGCUGUGGCUGUGGUGUAGGCCGGCGGCUACAGCUCCGAUUGGACCCCUAGCCUGGGAACCUCCAUAUGCUGUGGGAGUGGCCCUAGAAAAGGCAAAAAGACACACACAAAAAAAUCUUAGCAGUUCCCUUGUGGCGCCCUGGAUUAAGGAUCCAGCAUGGCUUCGGCUGUGAUGCAGGCCACAGAUGUGACCUGGGUUCCAUCCCUGGCCCAGGAACUUCUGCAUGCCAAGGGCACAGCCAAAAAAAGAAAAAAUAUCAAGGCUUGACUGAGGUGAAAUGUCACCUUGCAGGACUGAAUCACUCCAAUCUAAUAUUUACUUUUCAUUCAUUCAUUCAUUCAUUCAUUCACAAAGUAAAUAUGAACAUCUGCUAUAGACAGGAACUGUGCUGGGUGUCUAGGAUAUCCCGGUAGGCAAAAGCAGAUGCUCGUGGAACUACUUUUGCAGAGUCCGAUAUCUAGCCCUGACGUUGAAUAUUUUUUCGUGGGCAUAUUGGUCACUUAUACAUGAUCAUGUCUUAUGAGAAGAUAAUUUUAGGAGUUCCUUUAGUAGCUCAGGGGUUAAUGACCUGACUAGGAUCCAUGAGGAUGUGGGUUUGAUCCCUGGUCUUGCUCAGUAGGUAAAGGACCCAGCAUUGCCAUGAGCUGUGGUGUAGGUCACAGAUGUGGCUCAGAUCCUGCGUGGCUGUGGCUGUGGCAGCUGUAGCUAUGAUUCAACUCCCAGCCUGGGAACCUCCAUAUGCCACAAGUGUGGCCCUAAAAAGCAAAAAAAAAAAAAAAAAAAAAAAA
rnacentral:lncRNA from 1 species